rnacentral:rRNA from 1 species
GUGGGGAAUUUUGGACAAUGGGCGCAAGCCUGAUCCAGCAAUGCCGCGUGUGUGAAGAAGGCCUUCGGGUUGUAAAGCACUUUUGUCCGGAAAGAAAUGGCCUGGGUUAAUACCCCGGGUCGAUGACGGUACCGGAAGAAUAAGCACCGGCUAACUACGUGCCAGCAGCCGCGGUAAUACGUAGGGUGCGAGCGUUAAUCGGAAUUACUGGGCGUAAAGCGUGCGCAGGCGGCGAUGCAAGACAGAUGUGAAAUCCCCGGGCUCAACCUGGGAACUGCAUUUGUGACUGCAUGGCUAGAGUGCGUCAGAGGGGGUGGAAUUCCGCGUGUAGCAGUGAAAUGCGUAGAGAUGCGGAGGAACACCGAUGGCGAAGGCAGCCCCCUGGGAUGACACUGACGCUCAUGCACGAAAGCGUGGGGAGCAAACAGGAUUAGAAACCCUUGUAGUCC